CUUCUCCCUCUCUCUUCCCCCCGUCUUCACCUCUCUCUGGCCCUCCCUCCCCAGUUUCUUUUCUUUCUUCUCCCUCUCUCUCCUCGUCCGUUUUCACAUCUCUCUGAUAAAUUAAUGUCUGGUACACCGACCAAAAUUGAUCUGGACAAGGACACCCAAAUUGAUGUGCGAUGCCAGAUUCAUCAAUUGACUUUCAGUCCUCAUACAGAUGCCAAAGGGAUUAUGGAUCUGGUGAAGUUUCUUUCUCCCAAGCACGUGAUACUUGUUCAUGGUGAGAAGCCUAGGAUGGCUACUCUGAAAGGAAGAAUUCAAUCCGAACUGGGAAUUCAAAGUUGCUCAAAUCCAAACUUCAAGUUUUCUACAGGCGGCUCACAACACGAACAAAUCCAAACUCCGAUGCAUUUUUUUUUUCGGGAUGUCCCGGUCCCGACCCGGUCCCGACCCGGUCCCAACCCGGUCCUGUUCGGGUUCGGGCCCGUCGGGAUCACUUCUCAAAAUAGCAUUAACCGUCCCGUCCCGUCCCGAAAAAUAAUUCCGGGCCCGGGAUCGGGAUUACCAAGAUCCCGGCCCGUCCCGGCCCGUGCCCAGCCCUAAUAAAUUUAAGUGAAUUUCAUUAAAUCAUAAUCUUUCAUCUACUCUAACGGAGUUGAUCACGCCAUAUAUAUAUAUAAGCUAAUUUUUUUUU